rnacentral:rRNA from 1 species
UAGUGGGUGAUAGCCCCGUACACGAAAAUCUCUUAUCAAUGAAAUCGAGUAGGACGGAGCACGAGAAACUUUGUCUGAAUAUGGGGGGACCAUCCUCCAAGGCUAAAUACUACUGACUGACCGAUAGUGAACCAGUACCGUGAGGGAAAGGUGAAAAGCACCCCGGGAGGGGAGUGAAAUAGAACCUGAAACCGUAUGCGUACAAGCAGUGGGAGCCUACUUUGUUAGGUGACUGCGUACCUUUUGUAUAAUGGGUCAGCGACUUAUAUUCAGUGGCGAGCUUAACCGAAUAGGGGAGGCGUAGCGAAAGCGAGUCUUAAUAGGGCGUUUAGUCGCUGGGUAUAGACCCGAAACCGGGCGAUCUAUCCAUGGGCAGGUUGAAGGUUAGGUAACACUGACUGGAGGACCGAACCGACUACCGUUGAAAAGUUAGCGGAUGACCUGUGGAUCGGAGUGAAAGGCUAAUCAAGCUCGGAGAUAGCUGGUUCUCCUCGAAAGCUAUUUAGGUAGCGCCUCAUGUAUCACUGUAGGGGGUAGAGCACUGUUUCGGCUAGGGGGUC